UUAUAUGUUUCCCUACCCUGCCGCCAACCCCAUCCCCCCUUUUCCAUUUCCUUCUUCAACAGUGACUCUCUUCACAUGAAGAGAGCAAACCAGCGGAAUCACUGGCUAAAUAGCCCGAUGGCUUCUCUUUUUUCAGGUAUUGAGUGGUACUUUGAAGAUUAAAAUGUAAUAUUGGGAGGAGCCGCAGUUCGUCGAAAAGACAUUACAAAAAUGAGAUGAGAAUUCUUUCAAAAGUUUUUUAAAAAGUAUACAGGGUGCAUUUCAAUCUAUUCAAUGCAAGAAGAUUAAGUAUUCAACCUUGAUGCAAAGAGUGAAAGUACUUCAUCCUUGACUGCAGAAGAUCAUCUGGUGACGACAUCUGAAAUUCUCGGAGCAAAUACUUAGAACAUAGUUUUCUUUUGAUGUGGAACCCUUUAGAAUUUUAUAGAUUAUAGAUAAUGGUGCAUAAUUUGUAUUAUACUCCUAUUAGUUUGACAAGAAUGUGAGUUUAACACUGUGUUUGGAUGGUUGU